CCGCCGCUCCACCGCCCCUCUCUCUUCUCCGCCGCUCUGCCCAUUUCCCUCUCUUCAAUAACUAGGUUUUGGGAUUUUGAAAUUUUUGAAAUUGUUCGAUGUGCUUGCUCUCUCUCUCUCACAGACACACACACACAAACAUGCACAUGAAAUUGUUCUAGCUUUCGUACAGUUCGUGGCAAAUUUUUGAAAUUGUUCUAGCUUUUGUACAGUUCGUGGCCAUGGGAGAACAAUUCCCAGAGUUAAAUUUCAUUUUCAGUAGUUUUUUUUUCUUGUUUUCUUUUGAACUUGGAGUUUUGAGAUUUGAUUUUUGAAAUUUUGUGGAUUUAGGGAUUUUGAAAUUUGGAUCUUUUGGGGCAAUCACCGGCGCCGGAUUUGGGGAAGAUGCCGUCGCCGGAAAAGGGAAGUCAGCUAUGCUUCACAGUUGGUUGAAUUUAGGCUGAGGAGAUGGAGAUGAUUAUUUAAUUAACAAUAACUCUAAACAUCUAAUUCCCUAAAUUCUACUCUUCUUAAUCUCCGUGCCCAAAAGUUUUGUCCCAUAAAUAAUGGGACGGAGGGAGUA
rnacentral:lncRNA from 1 species